rnacentral:rRNA from 1 species
GGGGGAAUAUUGGACAAUGGGGGGAACCCUGAUCCAGCCAUGCCGCGUGUGUGAAGAAGGCCUUUUGGUUGUAAAGCACUUUAAGCGAGGAGGAGGCUCCCAGUAUUAAUACUACUGGAGAGUGGACGUUACUCGCAGAAUAAGCACCGGCUAACUCUGUGCCAGCAGCCGCGGUAAUACAGAGGGUGCAAGCGUUAAUCGGAUUUACUGGGCGUAAAGCGUGCGUAGGUGGCCAAUUAAGUCAAAUGUGAAAUCCCCGAGCUUAACUUGGGAAUUGCAUUCGAUACUGGUUGGCUAGAGUAUGGGAGAGGAUGGUAGAAUUCCGAGGUGUAGCGGUGAAAUGCGUAGAGAUCUGGAGGAAUCCGAUGGCAAGGCAGCCAGUCUGGCCUAAAGUCUGAC